GGGGUCCGGGAGGGGGGAAAGGGGGGGGGCCUUUUCCCCCGGGGGGGGGGUCUCGGAGGGAUCAUUACCGAGUUUACAACUCCCAAACCCAAUGUGAACGUUACCAAACUGUUGCCUCGGCGGGAUCUCUGCCCCGGGUGCGUCGCAGCCCCGGACCAAGGCGCCCGCCGGAGGACCAACCAAAACUCUUAUUGUAUACCCCCUCGCGGGUUUUUUUAUAAUCUGAGCCUUCUCGGCGCCUCUCGUAGGCGUUUCGAAAAUGAAUCAAAACUUUCAACAACGGAUCUCUUGGUUCUGGCAUCGAUGAAGAACGCAGCGAAAUGCGAUAAGUAAUGUGAAUUGCAGAAUUCAGUGAAUCAUCGAAUCUUUGAACGCACAUUGCGCCCGCCAGUAUUCUGGCGGGCAUGCCUGUCCGAGCGUCAUUUCAACCCUCGAACCCCUCCGGGGGGUCGGCGUUGGGGAUCGGCCCUGCCUUGGCGGUGGCCGUCUCCGAAAUACAGUGGCGGUCUCGCCGCAGCCUCUCCUGCGCAGUAGUUUGCACACUCGCAUCGGGAGCGCGGCGCGUCCACAGCCGUUAAACACCCAACUUCUGAAAUGUGACCUCGGAUCAGGUAGAAUGCCCCAGU
rnacentral:rRNA from 1 species